CUGACACAUCUUAUUACGAGAAUGGACUAUGAUACCGCCCGAAGUGUGCUAAAUUUAUAAACAGCCUGCCCAAAGCUUUCCGAUGAUUUAUAUAAUAAAGGAAAAAAUGAUUCUAUCGGGAGUGCUCGCAUGGGCAUUCUUUUUUAUUUGAUCAAUCACUAAACAACUUUAAACGAGGAAGUAUGAUCGAUCGUGAACAUCUGAUGGGUGAUAUAAAAUAUUACGGAAAAAGGAGAAGCAUCGUAAGGAGAAUUGGGUCCUUUUUACCACUGAAACCACUACCGAAAAUAUAUGUCAGCGUAACACCAUUGCAUUCAAUGACAAGUUCAAUGAUUAACGAAGAAUCCACUAGCAAUUAUGCUGACGCAAAUGGAUAUGAUUCUUCAAGACUUUUCAGCAGUAGGCCAGACCUAUUAGAACCUAUUAGUUUUGGAUCUGAAGUACGAUUGCUUGCACUGGAACAAGAAUUGCAAGAACUUAGGGAACAAAUUUCAACAAUUGUGAAAAAUAAUAAACUGUCUAAACAUGCAUCUAUUGCAUCUUUGUCCAAUAAAGUUGACGAUGGAGAACCUUUGUCAGUACCGCCACCACCUCCGCUUCCGCCACCUACGCCGCAUAUCGCCAGGAGGGCUAGUUUACAAGAUCACAAAAUUGAAGAUCGUAUGAGGAUUUCACUGAGUGUACAAAACUCGACGGGUGAUAUGCUUAAAGAUAUUGACAAUGUAAAAUUGAAGCCAAUUGCAAGAUUUUCGGGGAAAUCGGAACAAUUGACCUCUCAAACUUACUCAAAAUGAAGUCACGUAUAUUGUCUCUUGUAUUCUCAUAAGCCGGCGAGAGUACAUGGCCUCCAACCGGUAAGGCUUCUCAUUGCCAUCUUUUGAUGAGUGGUUCCAUCAUGAAGCUUGACAUUAGCUAUGAUUACUCAAAAUUUCGAGGCACUAUCAUGCCUGCGUUAUUAGUUUUUAUAUUAAAAGAGAUAAUAUCUUAUUGAUGCUCAUCGAAAAAACAUGCUUCGUAGCGCAUAUAUUGAUGGAAUAUCAAACAGACGCCAAAA
rnacentral:misc_RNA from 1 species